UGCUGUUAUCCAGGAAAGUAGGAAGUCAGAAGUAAUCCCAGGACUGCAAGUGACUUUUUCAACUGGCACCUGCACUAAAUUCUUCUCAAGUCUCUUACCGGAUGUGCAAAGUUGUAGCAGAUUAUCAAGUGGUAUUGAGUCAUGGCUUAAAGCUCCUCACCUUGGAAGACUUUUUUCUGCUGAGAAGAAAUCACUUUUCUCCAUCACAGCAUCCAAGGAUAUGGAAUAUGUCCUUUGAACCAUUUCUGUGAGAGUGCCUUAGGCACCAAUCGCAAAGAGACAGGUAUUUUCCUGAUGCAGUGAAAGCUCCUGUGCCGUACAAGCCAAAGGGAACUGUCUUAGCCACGCAUCAGAGAAGGAAAUCAGGUAGAAAUUUCAGGUAUGCAGGACAACCGAUGCAAUUCACAUUUUCUGAUCACCAUUACAGGAAAAGAGUCGUGUGCAGUAUUUC